rnacentral:rRNA from 1 species
UCGAAAGUCUAAGGUUUCCUGGGGAAGGUUCGUCCGCCCAGGGUAAGUCGGGACCUAAGGAGAGGCCGAGAAGGCGUAUCUGAUGGACAGCAGGUUGAAAUUCCUGCACUACCGAUACUUUAAAAAACGUCAAGGGACGCAGGAGAGGAAGGAAAGCGAGGAAGAGGAAAGACUCGUAUCGAAAGAUAUAGUGAAAAAAUGAAGUAACGAAUUUCCAAGAAUCACACUGACGAGAAAAGCUUGAUGACAUUAAGUAAAGGUACCCGUACCGCAAACCGACACAGGUAGAUGAGGAGAGGAUCCUAAGACGAACGGGAGAAGCAUUGUUAAGGAACUCGGCAAAAUGACCCCGUAACUUCGGGAGAAGGGGAACCUAGGUAAAACUAGGUCGCAGAGAAAAGGCCCAAGCAACUGUUUAACAAAAACACAGGUUUCUGCUAAAUCGAAAGAUGAAGUAUAGGAGCUGACGCCUGCCCAGUGCUGGAAGGUCAAGGGGAGAUGUUAGAAGAAAUUCGAAGCAUAGAACCAAAGCCCCAGUGAACGGCGGCCGUAACUAUAACGGUCCUAAGGUAGCGAAAUUCCUUGUCAGGUAAGUUCUGACCCGCACGAAAGGCGUAAUGAUUUGGGCACUGUCUCGACAAUGUACCCGGCGAAAUUGUAGUACUAGUGAAGAUGCUAGUUACCUGCGACAAGACAGAAAGACCCCAUGGAGCUUUACUGUAGUUUGAUAUUGGGUUUUGGUAAUUUAUGUACAGGAUAGGUGGGAGACAGAGAAGGAUGUGCGUCAGCAUAUCUGGAGUCAACGUUGGGAUACCACUCUUAAGUUAUUGAAAUUCUAACUUGUGAUCAUAAACUGGUCAGAGGACAAUGUCAGACGGGCAGUUUGACUGGGGCGGUCGCCUCCAAAAGAGUAACGGAGGCGCCCAAAGGUUCCCUCAGUGCGGACAGAAAUCGCACAAAAGAGUGUAAAGGCAGAAGGGAGCUUAACUGGAAGAUAGACAUAUCGAGCAGAUACGAAAGUAGGGCUUAGUGAUCCGGUGGAAUUGAAUGGAAAAGCCAUCGCUCAACGGACAAAAGUUACCCUGGGGAUAACAGGCUUAUCUCCCCCAAGAGUUCACAUCGACGGGGAGGUUUGGCACCUCGAUGUCGGCUCAUCGCAUCCUGGAGCGGAAGUACGUUCCAAGGGUUGGGCUGUUCGCCCAUUAAAGCGGUACGCGAGCUGGGUUCAGAACGU